CGCGGGGUGGAGCAGCCUGGUAGCUCGUCGGGCUCAUAACCCGAAGGUCGUCGGUUCAAAUCCGGCCCCCGCAAC
rnacentral:tRNA from 2 species